CUCGCACAAGCGGUGGAGCAUGUGGUUUAAUCGAAGCAACGCGAAGAACCUUACCAGGUCUUGACAUCCCUGACAACCCGAGAGAUCGGGCGUUCCCCGUUCGGGGGGACAGGGUGACAGGUGGUGCAUGGUUGUCGUCAGCUCGUGUCGUGAGAUGUUGGGUUAAGUCCCGCAACGAGCGCAACCCUCGACCUUAGUUGCCAGCAUUCAGUUGGGCACUCUAAGGUGACUGCCGGCUAAAAGUCGGAGGAAGGUGGGGAUGACGUCAAAUCAUCAUGCCCCUUAUGACCUGGGCUACACACGUGCUACAAUGGUAGUUACAGAGGGCAGCGAGGCCGCAAGGCGGAGCUAAUCUCAGAAAAGCUGCCACAGUUCGGAUUGAGGUCUGCAACUCGGCCUCAUGAAGCUGGAAUCGCUAGUAAUCGCGUAACAGCAUGACGCGGUGAAUACGUUCCCGGGCCUU
rnacentral:rRNA from 1 species